rnacentral:rRNA from 1 species
AUCUGGGCGGCGGAAUUCAGGAUGGCGAGCGUGUCUUAGCGGGCGCGUUUGUCGUUUGAUAUUUCCGUCGCCGACUGAACAAGCAGACGUCGCGACCUGUUCGCGGUCGGUCCUUGCUCGGAGGAGCUGCGUUCGAGUUCGGUUGCGGGCGCGUGUAUACGCGUUUCGCGGCGAAGGCGCGGAUCUCUGACCGGCUGGCGGACAGUACGCUCAGCGGUGUGCGGUGUCGUCGUCUCGUACGCGCGGCAUCGUUACCGGUCAGCGACGAUUUCUUCGGGCCUCUUUCCGACCCGUCUUGAAACACGGACCAAGGAGUCUAACAUGCGCGCGAGUCGCGGGGUGUCGAACGUACUAAGGUGCGCUCGUUACUUUACGAAACCCGUACAUAUUGAAGGCGUAAUGAAAGUGAAUGGGGAAGAUGGUGUUCCGAGUACACGUUCCACGAUCGUCGGUAUUGUGGCCGGUCACCCGCAUUCCCAGGGCGUCUCGAAGGUCCGUCGCGGAUGCGGACAGUCAUUCCUUGGGAUGGCUGUCGGUCUGCGACGAACCGA